UGCCCUAUGGCUCAGUUGGCUAGCGCGUGGAGCUGUUACGUUCAGUAACAUUUAACUCCGAGGUCCACGGUUCGAGCCCGUGUGGGGCAG
rfam:Trichosporon asahii var. asahii CBS 8904 unplaced genomic scaffold scaffold00066, whole genome shotgun sequence.